UUGGUAAAGUUUAAUUUUAUAAAUAUCUUGUUUACACCAAGAAGAUCUUUUUAGUACCAAAA
rnacentral:tRNA from 1 species